rnacentral:guide_RNA from 1 species
AUAUAUAAAUGCAGUGGAUCAAGUGUAAGAUGAUAUAAAUGUGAAUAU